ACAGCAGCCGACUUCCAAGGGAUGGCUACGGAAGCGAGAGAUUGACCUCAAGGAAAGUGAUCGGAUCUGGGGAUCAGACGUUCCCAUAGACAAAAAGCUCUGGACUACAGGCCAGAAAGUGGCACUAUCCCUAUUUCCAAGGCUGACGCAUGCCAGGUACCGAAACGCGAGGAGGUUGCUUCUCAAACUGACACGCGGCUACCUUGUAGAAGAGUGCUCACCUCAGGAGCAAAGACCUUCUAGAGUGGUGUCAAGGAAAACAGCUGCAUCCUCCAUCUGUACAGCAGCUGCAGUGCUUCCGAUGUCUUUUAACACGUGAAGACAAAAAAGAUCCUCACAUCCCCCCAGCCAACUGCCCAUGACUGUACCUGUUCCACUCCAGAAACUAUGCUUUCAACAUAACUAUGAAUCCUACCCGUUCAUUUUGUGGUCUGCAAAUUGAACUGUGACGGUAACUUAUCCAGCAUUAUAGUGCUGGUGCAUUGGUUAAAAAUAAAGUUGGCUUUGACUAUU